GAGCCGCGGUAAUACGUAGGUGGCAAGCGUUAUCCGGAUUUAUUGGGCGUAAAGCGAGCGCAGGCGGUUGCUUAGGUCUGAUGUGAAAGCCUUCGGCUUAACCGAAGAAGUGCAUCGGAAACCGGGCGACUUGAGUGCAGAAGAGGACAGUGGAACUCCAUGUGUAGCGGUGGAAUGCGUAGAUAUAUGGAAGAACACCAGUGGCGAAGGCGGCUGUCUGGUCUGCAACUGACGCUGAGGCUCGAAAGCAUGGGUAGCGAACAGGAUUAGAUACCCUGGUAGUCCAUGCCGUAAACGAUGAGUGCUAGGUGUUGGAGGGUUUCCGCCCUUCAGUGCCGGAGCUAACGCAUUAAGCACUCCGCCUGGGGAGUACGACCGCAAGGUUGAAACUCAAAGGAAUUGACGGGGGCCCGCACAAGCGGUGGAGCAUGUGGUUUAAUUCGAAGCUACGCGAAGAACCUUACCAGGUCUUGACAUCUUGCGCUAACCUUAGAGAUAAGGCGUUCCCUUCGGGGACGCAAUGACAGGUGGUGCAUGGUCGUCGUCAGCUCGUGUCGUGAGAUGUUGGGUUAAGUCCCGCAACGAGCGCAACCCUUGUUACUAGUUGCCAGCAUUAAGUUGGGCACUCUAGUGAGACUGCCGGUGACAAACCGGAGGAAGGUGGGGACGACGUCAGAUCAUCAUGCCCCUUAUGACCUGGGCUACACACGUGCUACAAUGGACGGUACAACGAGUCGCAAGCUCGCGAGAGUAAGCUAAUCUCUUAAAGCCGUUCUCAGUUCGGACUGUAGGCUGCAACUCGCCUACACGAAGUCGGAAUCGCUAGUAAUCGCGGAUCAGCAUGCCGCGGUGAAUACGUUCCCGGGCCUUGUACACACCGCCCGUCACACCAUGGGAGUUUGUAACGCCCAAAGUCGGUGGCCUAACCUUUAUGGAGGGAGCCGCCUAAGGCGGGACAGAUGACUGGGGUGAAGUCGUAACAAGGUACCCGUAGGCGAACCAGUGGGGAGAUAACCUAC
rnacentral:rRNA from 2 species